rnacentral:tRNA from 1 species
GUAAAUGUAGCGGAAGCAUAACAGUGUGUGAAGCUGUUGGGGUGGGUUCGAGGCCCAUCAUUUACCCCA